GCGCAGCAGGCGCGAAUCCUCCGCAAUGCGGGAAACCGUGACGGGGUCACCCCGAGUGCCACCCGAAGAGGGUGGGCUUUUCCCCGGUCUAAAAAAGCCGGGGGGUAAUAAGCGGGGGGCAAGUCUGGUGUCAGCCGCCGCGGUAAUACCAGCCCCGCGAGUGGUCGGGGACGUUUAUUGGGCCUAAAGCGUCCGUAGCCGGCCCGGUAAGUCCCUCCUUAAAUCCACGGGGCUCAACCCGUGGGCUGGGAGGGAUACUGCCGGGCUAGGGGGCGGGAGAGGCCGAGGGUACUCCCGGGGUAGGGGCGAAAUCCGGUUAAUCCCCGGGGAGGACCACCAGUGGCGAAGGCGCUCGGCUGGGAACGCGCCCGACGGUGAGGGACGAAAGC
rnacentral:rRNA from 1 species